UCCCGUGUAGCUCACUUGGUAGAGCGUGGUGUUUGCAACACCAGGGUUGUGGGUUCGAUUCCCACUGGGGAC
rnacentral:tRNA from 1 species